UGGGGGAUAUUGCACAAUGGGCGAAAGCCUGAUGCAGCAACGCCGCGUGAGGGAAGAAGGUCUUCGGAUUGUAAACCUUUGUUUUUGGUGACGAAGCAAUGACGGUAGCCAAAGAGGAAGCCACGGCUAACUACGUGCCAGCAGCCGCGGUAAUACGUAGGUGGCAAGCGUUGUCCGGAAUUACUGGGUGUAAAGGGUGCGCAGGCGGGACAGCAAGUUGGAUGUGAAAUACCGGGGCUUAACCCCGGGCUGCAUCCAAACUGUUGUUCUUGAGUGAAGUAGAGGUAGGCGGAAUUCCGAGUGUAGCGGUGAAAUGCGUAGAUAUUCGGAGGAACACCAGUGGCGAAGGCGGCCUACUGGGCUUUUUAACUGACGCUGAGGCACGAAAGCAUGGGGAGCAAACA
rnacentral:rRNA from 1 species